UUGGAGGCAAGUCUGGUGCCAGCAGCCGCGGUAAUUCCAGCUCCAAUAGCGUAUAUUAAAGUUGUUGUGGUUAAAAAGCUCGUAGUUGAACCUUGGGCCUGGCUGGCCGGUCCGCCUCACCGCGUGCACUGGUCCGGCCGGGCCUUUCCCUCUGCGGAACCCCAUGCCCUUCACUGGGUGUGGCGGGGAAACAGGACUUUUACUUUGAAAAAAUUAGAGUGCUCAAGGCAGGCCUAUGCUCGAAUACAUUAGCAUGGAAUAAUAGAAUAGGA
rnacentral:rRNA from 1 species